AUGCUGCCCUCGGUGAGCAGAUCCAUCGGGUCCCCUCUUUCUGUUGUAAUCCUGCCUUUUCCCCCACCCUUCCAUGAUCAGCCUUUCCUGAGUCUCCCCAGCAGCUCCCGAUGAUGUUCAAGUUUCUGUGUCUGAGUUGUGUGAGCAGUCGACCAUGCUCUCCCUGUGCUGGCUCCAGGCUGAGGGCUCGUAUGGGCAUCUUCUCAGUCUGGCACGCGGGAAUAUUUGCCCCUACAUAAAAAUCUGGGAUUCAGUGAGAUCGAUGGAUCAUGUCAGCCACAGAAAUGCUAAAAAACAAGAGCCCUUGUUGUACCCCACUAUUUGAAGCCACACAAGUCAGGCCCUUUCCUCAUGUUCCCUGGUCCCAUCUUACUUUACUGGUAGUACUCUGAACGUUUGGAGUUCCUCCCUGUCCUCUGCAGAGAUGAAACUUAAGGAAGGGAGUGGGAGAGGACCACCAUAGCUGCACAUUCUGAUGCCUUCUUUUACAGAGUUAAGCCAGCUGUGCUCAGUGGGCGGGGCGUGUGGUGGUGGCUUCACCUGUGGAAAGCGGGGUGCUGGUACAGGGAACAGGCAGAGGUCUUUAUAGUGGCACGCACCUCUCAGAAGGAUCAGCUCAGCUGAUGUCCCCGAGGCUCCCUCAGAACUGCUCGUUUGUUGACCUGUCAUCUUCCCAUUAAAAACACUUUUGAAAUAAAA
rnacentral:lncRNA from 1 species